UCGUCAAGGGGUGGGCUGGCCUCAUUGCAACCUCAUCCUACCUGGCUGGCCUACAGCACUAAGUCUGGCAGGGCUCAGAGAAGGAAGCUUCCAAGUGGACUUCAUGCAUCUGAAAAGGAGCCACUCUGGGAGCCGCCUUGGAGGCAGCUCUUCUCACUACCUAGGUAACAGCUCUGUCAUCUAUGGCUCAAAGCCACUCACCAGGGAGUUGCUGCAGACCUGUAUGUAUCCUUAUACAGAGAAACAGAGAGUGGCUACUGAGGACCUAAGCCGGUGCCUCAUGGAUAAGGAAACUCCAUGGAAGUUAGAGCUGCCCUGUAAUUUGCAUCCCCCAUAUCUUAGAAACCAGAAUGAAAGGCCUACAGCAGAGACUGAAGAGAGGAAGGCUCAUCACUUGGACCACCAAAGAACUAAGAAAGGUCUCAAGAUCCCUCUGCUAUGGUUAAAUCUAGUCAAGCAACCCAUCCCGGUGCUACUGUGGAAUUCCUGCAAGAGGCAGGAGGCGGUUCAGUCAUCAAAGCCAUUUUUACAAGGUAGACAUAGGACUGGGGGAUUAAAGGCUUUCAUGGCCUCACUUGCCAACCUGCCCCCCCCCCCAAGGCUCUGGGUGAGUACCUAUUAACUUCUCUCCACUCUCUAAUCCCAAAUCAAUCUCCACUUUGCAUAUCGACAUGAAAGCCAAUGGCGGUGCUGGCUAAGGUCAGCCAACUCCAAGGAAAAGGCCUCAGGGGCAGGCAGAUAUGGAGCCAGGUGCUAGGAAAGGCAAUAGGAGAAACCUCAAGCUGGGCUUUAGUCUACCAGCGACUCCCUCCCCUACUGCUGCCAGUGCCUGAGGCACCAGGGCAGUUUGUAUCUUCUCAAGGUGUAUCCCCAG
rnacentral:lncRNA from 1 species